AUGGAGCGCAAGGAGGCCGAGGUGAAGGCGCUCUGGGCGCGCCUCGACGGCGGCCGCCACCGCCCGGGCGACGGGCUCGCCGCCGCCGCCAGCCCCGCCAGAGAGCAAAAGCCCCGGAGCAUCGAGAAGCCAGCCUCCCCUGCCACGCCAAAAUGCAUCCCUGCCAUGAAGCUCCCACGUCUCAGGAGCGCCACGGCAUCGCCGUCACCGGCGGCGGCAAGCCCGAGGCUACCCUCCAGCCGCCGAGCGUCCCACCCGGAGCCACCCACCACUCCCCGGAAGGAGAACAGGAUGCCACCGCCGUCCACCGCCGCGACGCCGAGGCCGCUCAAGACGCUGUCGCGGACCAGGAGCUCGCUCAAGGACAGCAGCAAGGAGGAGCGCGGCAGCGUCUCCUCCUCGUCCUCAUCCUCCGUAAAGGGGGAGAGCCCGCGGCCGCCGCGCUUCCAGCCCCCGCGGGCCAGCUACGACGGCGGCGCGGGUGGUGUGAAGGUGAAGCAGGCCGCGGCUCCGGCGCCGAGAAGCGACGCCGAUGCCGCCAUCGCCGCGGCGCGGAGCCGGUUCCACGAGCAGGUCGUUCUUGCAGAGAUCAAGACGGCGGCCGCCGUUUCUCCCGGGCCUCACCGCACCAGGAGAUCGGGCAACGGCGUCGCGCGCGCGUCGUCGCCGUCGGUGGCUCUUGGCCGCGGACAGGUCGAUUUCUUGACCAGGCUAGGAAACAGCGACCGCAACGAUGUUCAAAGCUCCGAACACUCAGACGCCAAAGCGAAGAACUCCAACAACAAGGCGGACGGCAAUGGCGACGGCGAGGUCGCACGAUCUGGUGACAAGCUUGGCGACGCGGAGAUCACCGGUGACUCCGACACCGAGCCGAGCUACGUGUACGUCAAGAGAGACCACGAACAGGUUGGGGACGAGGAAGCCGCUGAGGUCUUCGAGGACACCAUGGCAUCAUCACCAUCAUCGGAGACCAUGGCAUCAUCGCCAUCAUCAGAGACAAUGGCAGCAGCAUCUGACGCGACCGGCACGAGCGUCAAGGAGAGCUCCGGGUCCCUGUACUCGAACGUGCAGUCGUCGUUCUCCCAUGGAUCGGAGCUCGACACCUCAGCGGCCGGCUCCCCGCUCCCCACCCCGCCGCCUUCCGGCGGAGCUCUGUCCACGGAAGAGCUGCUGGAGGCAGACGCGGCGAUGCUGAGGAUGAAACGGGAGGAGGCGGAUGAGGUGGAGGAGGCCGAGCACCAGAGCAUAGUGUUCCUCCCGAGCACAUGCUGUGCCUCGAGGAGCGAAGCCGUCCCCGUAGCCGGGAUGCCGCAGUCGCCGAUGGACACCGUGGCGGGGCUCAAGAGGUUCCUCACCUUUGGCAAGAAGAACUGCAACGGCCCUGACGGUCCCGCCGCCGCCGCCGCCGUCGUCAUCGAGCGCGGGGCGCCUCCAGCAGCUGACGGCCCCGCGAGCCAAGGACCGGCGCAAGGUGAUCCGAUAAACAAGCCGAGAGCGUGCUGGUCGGAUGCUGCUUCUGACGAUCUCGACAGCAGCUAUGUCGUCUCUCCCCACGUUCGGUCCCUGCAGAGCUUCGUGCCGCUGUCUCCUGCAAGGUCUCAGCUCAAGGAGAUGGCCCUGCCUGCAAAAUCUCCAAGAGUACCCCGAUCGUUCUUCUCGUUCUCGUCGUUCAAAAACAGAGGGAACUGA
rnacentral:rRNA from 1 species